CCGUUUUCGGGCAACAUAUGUCUACCUUUUUAAUGUUUGUGGACAUCUGACUUCCACUUCAGUUCCAUCUCCAAUUCACCUUUUUCAUUCUUCGGUGUUGGUUUCCUAUUGCACUGCCUCUCUUACUCACUCACAUCUUCUUAUCUUUUUUUGCUUACUAUAUUUUCUUUGUAAAAAGUUGAUGCAAUGAUAGAGUUGGUCCGCGCUUGUGAAUCACUCCGUCUUUGUCCUUUUUGGGUUGUAGCAGGAAAAUUUCUAGGAGCACUGAGGACUCUAUCAGAAGAAAGUCAAUUUAUCUUAGCUUGAUGGCUCUGGGGCCACAAUUCAAGAUUUGGUUCAUCAUGCUGUCUAUUGUUGUCUUCCACACCUAAAGAUGCAAGGUGUAAUUAUUUAUACUUGUUAUUUAUACUCUUUUUUUUUUUUUUUUUUUUCCAACAAUGAAAUCUUUGGUAUUGUUGGUUGUUCAUUUGUAGCAUACAUCAAUUGCAUUUACUUCGAGAAGAAAGGAAUUACAAAAAUGAGAUGCUGUGAAGGAGCAGAGGAGGAUUCGUAUUCCAAAAAUAUAACCAUUUUCCGGAGGGAUUGCUAAUCGUUGUAUUGCAGGUUACAGGAUGCUGUGUUGAUUGGAAUGCUAACAGUUCCGGAGACGAUUUACUAUUCAGCUGAAUUGCGUCUCCCCUACAAGAUGCCAUUAUCAGAGAAACGGCCACUGGUUGAUAGCACAAUUGUUUAAAUGGCACAAGAUUGUGCUGAUACGUUUGUUGGGAAUUGACACGUACGUGGUAUUACUUGGGAGGAAAGAAGAGGGUUAGUAUUGCACUUGAGAUUCUAAUGAGGCCUACAAUACUCUUUCUUGAUGAACCAACAAGUGGACUAGAUUUGGGCGGAGGAUAUUCAAGAAAGGAUCUUGGUAUGAGCUACAUGAAGGAAAAAAGACAGAAAGUGAAUAGGGGUUUGGAAAGGUUGCAUGAGAGAGUAAACAACAAGACAAAGUGGAAGAGAAUUAUAUUCUUCUUUAUUUUGAAUACAAGCUUAUCAGAAGAGUUCCCAAUCUCCGUUUUCUAUGUGGUUUGUGAAUAUAAUUUGGCAAUCAUUUAGAAAAAGCAGGGGAAAAGAGUAUUAAGUUCACUUUCCUCUAUCCGCUAGACUUUGAGUCUGUUUGUGCAAAUGGCACUUUGAGCCAUUGAAGGGUAGCAUGGAAACAAUAUGAUGGUAUAUAAGGUACGAUUGAAUUGAAGGAUACAAGUAAUAUGAUGAAGUGGUAGGUGGCUUGGAUGCACAUCCUGGAACGAAAUAUCUUUUUGCAGUAAUAUUUGUCAUUUGUAGUAAGUUGUUUGCACUGUCUAAAAUGAUUCGAAACAAAAUGCACUUAUAAAUACUCCUUCUUAUGAUAGCCAUAGGAUUUUUCUAUGUAGAUGCUUAGAACUUUGUAAUGAAUAUGACUCUUGGUCAUUUCCAAAAAAAAAAAAUUGGUGCUCAAAAUUCCCUCUUUUGCUUUCUGAGUGCUGAUUUGGCUUCUGAUUUUUGGUCAUUUCAGGACACUCAGAUGCCAAAGAGUAGGUAUUGAUUUGGAUGCUCCAGAUGUGAAGUGGAAGCGAGAUUUUUUU